AAAUUGAAGAGUUUGAUCAUGGCUCAGAUUGAACGCUGGCGGCAGGCCUAACACAUGCAAGUCGAACGGUAACAGGAAACAGCUUGCUGUUUCGCUGACGAGUGGCGGACGGGUGAGUAAUGUCUGGGAAACUGCCUGAUGGAGGGGGAUAACUACUGGAAACGGUAGCUAAUACCGCAUAAUGUCGCAAGACUAAAGAGGGGGACCUUCGGGCCUCUUGCCAUCGGAUGUGCCCAGAUGGGAUUAGCUAGUAGGUGGGGUAACGGCUCACCUAGGCGACGAUCCCUAGCUGGUCUGAGAGGAUGACCAGCCACACUGGAACUGAGACACGGUCCAGACUCCUACGGGAGGCAGCAGUGGGGAAUAUUGCACAAUGGGCGCAAGCCUGAUGCAGCCAUGCCGCGUGUAUGAAGAAGGCCUUCGGGUUGUAAAGUACUUUCAGCGGGGAGGAAGGGAGUAAAGUUAAUACCUUUACU
rnacentral:rRNA from 1 species